UCCGUAGGCGGGCAAUUAAGUCAGAGGUGAAAUCCCACAGCUCAACUGUGGAACGGCUUUUGAUACUGGUUGUCUUGAGUUAUAGUGAAGUAGAUAGAAUAUGUAGUGUAGCGGUGAAAUGCAUAGAUAUUACAUAGAAUACCGAUUGCGAAGGCAGUCUACUAACUGUACACUGACGCUAAUGGACGAAAGCGUGGGGAGCGAACAGGAUUAGAUACCCUGGUAGUCC
rnacentral:rRNA from 1 species